rnacentral:rRNA from 1 species
UAAGCGACUCUCGGCAACGGAUAUCUCGGCUCACGCAUCGAUGAAGAACGUAGCAAAAUGCGAUACUUGGUGUGAAUUGCAGAAUCCCGUGAACCAUCGAGUUUUUGAACGCAAGUUGCGCCCGAAGCCUUUUGGCCGAGGGCACGUCUGCCUGGGCGUCACAC